GGCUGAUGAAAAUCCCUGCAAGACUGUGAAUGAGCAGACAGAAGAGAAACGGAAAUGAUAGCUGCUUUUUCUUCUCUCUGUCUUGUGAGCUCAGAGCUUCUCAGUGAGGAAGGGUUGCUCCACUUCUGCUUCAAAUUAGCUGAACCUUCAGAAUUGAACAUUUAGUGUUGCAACCCUUGGGCAAAAUCGUACCUGCUCAAAACCCUCCCCUCAAAUGCACCAGCUAAGGAACUUGAAGACAGGGAAAGAAAAUAUUUGAACGAGAAAGGGAAAGUUAGGUAAGGAAGAGUUGUUUCUGAGAAGGGUGUACGGGAGUCCAGGAGGGUAGACUGUAAAAAUAGUGUCAGAAAUGUGCUUAAAUUUUUUUCCUUCCUGUAAUAUUCAGGUUUGUAAUAACAAACCCCAAUCAAAACAAGUUGUCUUCUGUAAGAAUCUGUACAGCCGGAGCUAGCAAUUAUUUUGGCUGUCAGUCUUAGUGGAGAGAUGCUGACUCACAGUUUACUCGGUACAACAGUCUGUAUUUUUCUUGCUUUUCUCAACACUUGCUGUAUGAACGUGUUGAAGUAUAUUUGUAUAUCUUUUAUCUUUCUGUGGUUCUCUUAUUUCAAAAAUCAAAAACUGUUCUGGUUCUCUGUGAAAGAGAUAUUUUUGCUUGUCUCAGCAAAAAUGAUGUCUUGGUACAUUAAAAAGGAUGUUCAACUGAAAUGGAAUGCAGUAAGUUGCCAAAUAGUGUUAAAGAAAACACCCCAAUAAAGCAAAAACUUAUUUACAUCCUAUGUGAGUUCCCAUGUAGUGUACGUAGCGUGCAGUUCUUAGGAAAUAAAAGAUGUAAUUUAGA